UACGUAGGGCGCAAGCGUUAUCCGGAAUUAUUGGGCGUAAAGAGCUCGUAGGCGGUUUGUCGCGUCUGCCGUGAAAGUCCGGGGCUCAACUCCGGAUCUGCGGUGGGUACGGGCAGACUAGAGUGAUGUAGGGGAGACUGGAAUUCCUGGUGUAGCGGUGAAAUGCGCAGAUAUCAGGAGGAACACCGAUGGCGAAGGCAGGUCU
rnacentral:rRNA from 1 species